rnacentral:misc_RNA from 1 species
ACUGACACGCUGUCCUUUCCCUAUUAACACUAAAGGACACUAGAAGAGACCCUUUCGAUUUAAGGCUGUUUUGCUUGUCCAGCCUAUUCUUUUUACUGGCUUGGGUCUGUCGCGGUGCCUGAAGCUGUCCCCGAGCCACGCUUCCUGCUUUCCCGGGCUUGCUGCUUGCGUGUGCUUGCUGUGGGCAGCUUGUGACAACUGGGCGCUGUGACUUUGCGUGUCAGACUUUUUUCCCGAUUUCCCCGAGGUGUCGUUGUCACACCUGUCCCGGUUGGAAUGGUGGAGCCAGCUGUGGUUGAGGGCCGCCUUAUUUCGGCUCACUUUUUUUUUUUUCUCUUGGAGUCCCGAACCUCCGCUCUUUUCUCUUCCCGGUCUUUCUUCCACAUGCCUCCCGAGUGCAUUUCUUUUUGUUUUUUUUUUCUUUUUUUUUUUUGGGGGGGAGGUGGAGAGUCCCGAGUACUUCACUCCUGUCUGCGGUGUCCAAGUGUUCAUGCCACGUGCCUCCCGAGUGCACUUUUUUUUGUGGCAGUCGCUCGUUGUGUUCUCUUGUUCUGUGUCUGCCCGUAUCAGUAACUGUCUUGCCCCGCGUGUAAGACAUUCCUAUCUCGCUUGUUUCUCCCGAUUGCGCGUCGUUGCUCACUCUUAGAUCGAUGUGGUGCUCCGGAGUUCUCUUCGGGCCAGGGCCUAAGCCGCGCCAGGCGAGGGACGGACAUUCAUGGCGAAUGGCGGCCGCUCUUCUCGUUCUGCCAGCGGGCCCCUCGUCUCUCCACCCCACCCGUCUGCCGGUGGUGUGUGGAAGGCAGGGGUGCGGCUCUCCGGCCCGAGCGCUGCCCCGCGCGCACUUUUCUCAGUGGUUCGCGUGGUCCUUGUGGAUGUGUGAGGCGCACGGUUGUGCCCUCACGUGUUUCACUUUGGUCGUGUCUCGCUUGACCAUGUUCCCAGAGUCGGUGGAUGUGGCCGGUGGCGUUGCAUACCCUUCCCGUCUGGUGUGUGCACGCGCUGUUUCUUGUAAGCCUCGAGGUGCUCCUGGAGCGUUCCAGGUUUGUCUCCUAGGUGCCUGCUUCUGAGCUGGUGGUGGCGCUUCCCAUUCCCUGGUGUGCCUCCGGUGCUCCGUCUGGCUGUGUGCCUUCCCGUUUGUGUCUGAGAAGCCUGUGAGAGAAGGGGGGUCGAGGAGAGGAGGGGCAAGAGCCCCCUUCUUCGUCGGGUGAGCGCCCACCCCGCGCACUAGUACGCCUGUGCGUAGGGCUGGUGCUGAGCGGUCGCGGCUGGCCUUGGAAAGUUUCUCGAGACUCAUUGCUUUCCCGUGGGGAGCUUUGAGAGGCCUGGCUUUCGGGGGGGACCGGUUGCAGGGUCUCCCCUGUCCGCGGAUGCUCAGAAUGCCCUUGGAAGAGAACCUUCCUGUUGCCGCAGACCCCCCCGCGCGGUCCCCCGCGUGUUGGUCUUCUGGUUUCCCUGUGUGCUCGUCGCAUGCAUCCUCUCUCGGUGGCCGGGGCUCGUCGGGGUUGUGGGUCCGUCCCGCCCUCAGUGAGAAAGUUUCCUUCUCUAGCUAUCUUCCGGAAAGGGUGCGGGCUUCUUACGGUCUCGAGGGGUCUCUCCCGAAUGGUCCCCUCGAGGGCUCGCCCCCUGACCGCCUCCCGCGCGCGCAGCGUUUGCUCUCUCGUCUACCGCGGCCCGCGCCUCCCCGCUCCGAGUUCGGGGAGGGAUCACGCGGGGCAGAGCCUGUCUGUCGUCCUGCCGUUGCUGCGGAGCCAUGUGGCUCCGGUUGUGUGGUGGUGGCUGGGGAGAGGGCUCCGUGCACACCCCCGCGUGCGCGGUACUUUCCUCCCCUCCUGAGGGCCGCCGUGCGGGACGGGGUGUGGGUAGGCGACGGUGGGCUCCCGGGUCCCCACCCGUCUUCCCGUGCCUCACCCGUGCCUUCCGUCGCGUGCGUCCCUCUCGCUCGCGUCCACGACUUUGGCCGCUCCCGCGACGCGGGCCUGCGCCGCGCGUGGUGCGUGCUG